AAUGAACGUUGGCGGCGUGGAUUAGGCAUGCAAGUCGAGCGAGAACCCCGCAAGGGGGGACAGCGGCAAACGGCGUAGUAAGGCGUAGGUACGUGCCCCCGGGUCUGGGAUAGCCAAGGGAAACUUUGGGUAAUACCGGAUAUUCUCGAGAGAGCAAAGGUGUGACUCCGCCUGGGGAGUGGCUUACGUGGUAUUAGCUUGUUGGUGAGGUAACGGCUCACCAAGGCAACGAUGCCUAGGGGGUGUGAGAGCACGACCCCCACGACUGGGACUGGGAUACUGCCCAGACACCUACGGGUGGCUGCAGUCGAGAAUCUUCGGCAAUGGGCGCAAGCCUGACCGAGCGACGCCGCGUGUGGGAUGAAGGCCCUUGGGUUGUAAACCACUGUCAGAGGGGAUGAAGUGCACGGGGGUACUCCCUCGUGUUUGACAUAGCCUCAGAGGAAGCACGGGCUAAGUUCGUGCCAGCCGCCGCCGUAA
rnacentral:rRNA from 1 species